UUUAAAUUUAGAGUUUGAUCCUGGCUCAGGACGAACGCUGGCGGCGUGCUUAACACAUGCAAGUCGAGCGAUGAAGCUUCCUUCGGGAAGUGGAUUAGCGGCGGACGGGUGAGUAACACGUGGGUAACCUGCCUCAAAGUGGGGGAUAGCCUUCCGAAAGGAAGAUUAAUACCGCAUAAUAUAAGAGAAUCGCAUGAUUUUCUUAUCAAAGAUUUAUUGCUUUGAGAUGGACCCGCGGCGCAUUAGCUAGUUGGUAAGGUAACGGCUUACCAAGGCAACGAUGCGUAGCCGACCUGAGAGGGUGAUCGGCCACAUUGGAACUGAGACACGGUCCAGACUCCUACGGGAGGCAGCAGUGGGGAAUAUUGCGCAAUGGGGGAAACCCUGACGCAGCAACGCCGCGUGGGUGAUGAAGGUCUUCGGAUUGUAAAGCCCUGUUUUCUAGGACGAUAAUGACGGUACUAGAGGAGGAAGCCACGGCUAACUACGUGCCAGCAGCCGCGGUAAUACGUAGGUGGCGAGCGUUGUCCGGAUUUACUGGGCGUAAAGGGUGCGUAGGCGGAUGUUUAAGUGGGAUGUGAAAUCCCCGGGCUUAACCUGGGGGCUGCAUUCCAAACUGGAUAUCUAGAGUGCAGGAGAGGAAAGCGGAAUUCCUAGUGUAGCGGUGAAAUGCGUAGAGAUUAGGAAGAACACCAGUGGCGAAGGCGGCUUUCUGGACUGUAACUGACGCUGAGGCACGAAAGCGUGGGUAGCAAACAGGAUUAGAUACCCUGGUAGUCCACGCCGUAAACGAUGGAUACUAGGUGUAGGGGGUAUCAACUCCCCCUGUGCCGCAGUUAACACAAUAAGUAUCCCGCCUGGGGAGUACGGUCGCAAGAUUAAAACUCAAAGGAAUUGACGGGGGCCCGCACAAGCAGCGGAGCAUGUGGUUUAAUUCGAAGCAACGCGAAGAACCUUACCUGGACUUGACAUCCCUUGCAUAGCCUAGAGAUAGGUGAAGCCCUUCGGGGCAAGGAGACAGGUGGUGCAUGGUUGUCGUCAGCUCGUGUCGUGAGAUGUUAGGUUAAGUCCUGCAACGAGCGCAACCCUUGUUAUUAGUUGCUACCAUUAAGUUGAGCACUCUAAUGAGACUGCCUGGGUAACCAGGAGGAAGGUGGGGAUGACGUCAAAUCAUCAUGCCCCUUAUGUCCAGGGCUACACACGUGCUACAAUGGUAGGUACAAUAAGACGCAAGACCGUGAGGUGGAGCAAAACUUAUAAAACCUAUCUCAGUUCGGAUUGUAGGCUGCAACUCGCCUACAUGAAGCUGGAGUUGCUAGUAAUCGCGAAUCAGAAUGUCGCGGUGAAUACGUUCCCGGGCCUUGUACACACCGCCCGUCACACCAUGAGAGCUGGUAACACCCGAAGUCCGUGAGGUAACCGUAAGGAGCCAGCGGCCGAAGGUGGGAUUAGUGAUUGGGGUGAAGUCGUAACAAGGUAGCCGUAGGAGAACCUGCGGCUGGAUCACCUCCUUUCUA
rnacentral:rRNA from 2 species